GAUGAACGCUAGCGGCAGGCCUAAUACAUGCAAGUCGGACGGGAUAGGAGAGCUUGCUUUCCUUGAGAGUGGCGCACGGGUGCGUAACACGUAUGCAACCUACCUUUGUCAGGGGGAUAGCCUCUCGAAAGAGAGAUUAAGACCGCAUAACAUGUUGAGGUGGCAUCACCCCAACAUCAAAUAUUUAUAGGACAAAGAUG
rnacentral:rRNA from 1 species